AACGAACGCUGGCGGCAUGCCUAACACAUGCAAGUCGAACGAGACCUUCGGGUCUAGUGGCGCACGGGUGCGUAACGCGUGGGAACCUGCCCUUAGGUUCGGAAUAACUCCCCGAAAGGGGUGCUAAUACCGGAUAAUGUCUUCGGACCAAAGAUUUAUCGCCUUUGGAUGGGCCCGCGUUGGAUUAGCUAGUUGGUAGGGUAAAAGCCUACCAAGGCGACGAUCCAUAGCUGGUCUGAGAGGAUGAUCAGCCACACUGGGACUGAGACACGGCCCAGACUCCUACGGGAGGCAGGAGUGGGGAAUAUUGGACAAUGGGCGAAAGCCUGAUCCAGCAAUGCCGCGUGAGUGAUGAAGGCCUUAGGGUUGUAAAGCUCGUUUACCCGGGAUGAUAAUGACAGUACCGGGAGAAUAAGCUCCGGCUAACUCCGUG
rnacentral:rRNA from 1 species